GACGAACGCUGGCGGCGUGCUUAACACAUGCAAGUCGAACGUGAUUUUUGUGGAAAUUCUUUCGGGAAUGGAAAUGAAGUGAAAGUGGCGAACGGGUGAGUAACACGUGAGCAACCUACCUUACACAGGGGGAUAGCCGUUGGAAACGACGAUUAAUACCGCAUGAGACCACAGAAUCGCAUGAUAUAGGGGUCAAAGAUUUAUCGGUGUAAGAAGGGCUCGCGUCUGAUUAGCUAGUUGGAAGGGUAAAGGCCUACCAAGGCGACGAUCAGUAGCCGGUCUGAGAGGAUGAACGGCCACAUUGGAACUGAGACACGGUCCAAACUCCUACGGGAGGCAGCAGUGGGGAAUAUUGCACAAUGGGGGGAACCCUGAUGCAGCGACGCCGCGUGAGCGAAGAAGGUUUUCGAAUCGUAAAGCUCUGUCCUAUGAGAAGAUAAUGACGGUAUCAUAGGAGGAAGCCCCGGCUAAAUACGUGCCAGCAGCCGCGGUAAUACGUAUGGGGCGAGCGUUGUCCGGAAUUAUUGGGCGUAAAGGGUACGUAGGCGGUUUUUUAAGUCAGGUGUGAAAGCGUGAGGCUUAACCUCAUUAAGCACUUGAAACUGGAAGACUUGAGUGAAGGAGAGGAAAGUGGAAUUCCUAGUGUAGCGGUGAAAUGCGUAGAUAUUAGGAGGAAUACCGGUGGCGAAGGCGACUUUCUGGACUUUUACUGACGCUCAGGUACGAAAGCGUGGGGAGCAAACAGG
rnacentral:rRNA from 1 species